CGCACGGGUGCGUAACGCGUAUGCAACCUACCAUCAACAGGGGGAUAACACUGAGAAAUUGGUACUAAUACCCCAUAAUAUCUCAUGCGGCAUCGCAUGGGGUUGAAAACUCCGGUGGUUGAUGAUGGGCAUGCGUUGUAUUAGCUGGUUGGUGAGGUAACGGCUCACCAAGGCGACGAUACAUAGGGGGACUGAGAGGUUAACCCCCCACAUUGGUAUUGAGACACGGACCAAACUCCUACGGAAGGCAGCAG
rnacentral:rRNA from 1 species